rfam:Aedes albopictus isolate Foshan contig99540, whole genome shotgun sequence.
CAAACGGCCCUUUUCAGGGCCAACAUACAAAAAACGGUCCUUU